rnacentral:tRNA from 1 species
AGGUCAGUGGCUAUCUAAUCCGCCUGAAAAGCGGAAGGUCGCCGGUUCGAUCCCGGCCCUGGCCA